AGAGCGAACGCUGGCGGCAGGCCUAAUACAUGCAAGUCGAGCGGCCACUUCGGUGGCAGCGGCGGACGGGUGAGUAACGCGUGGGAAUGUGCCCUUUGGUACGGAACAACUGAGGGAAACUUCAGCUAAUACCGUAUGUGCCCUUCGGGGGAAAGAUUUAUUGCCAUUGGAGCAGCCCGCGUUGGAUUAGCUAGUUGGUGGGGUAAAGGCCCACCAAGGCGACGAUCCAUAGCUGGUCUGAGAGGAUGAUCAGUCACACUGGAACUGAGACACGGUCCAGACUCCACGGAGGCAGCAGUGGGGAAUAUUGGACAAGUGGGCGAAAGCCUGAAUCCAGCCAUGCCGCGUGUG
rnacentral:rRNA from 1 species